AAGGACAUGUGGAGCGCUUAGAAGUGAGAAUGCCGGUGUGAGUAGCGAAAGACGGGUGAGAAUCCCGUCCACCGAUUGACUAAGGUUUCCAGAGGAAGGCUCGUCCGCUCUGGGUUAGUCGGGUCCUAAGCUGAGGCCGACAGGCGUAGGCGAUGGAUAACAGGUUGAUAUUCCUGUACCACCUAUAAUCGUUUUAAUCGAUGGGGGGACGCAGUAGGAUAGGCGAAGCGUGCGAUUGGAUUGCACGUCUAAGCAGUAAGGCUGAGUAUUAGGCAAAUCCGGUACUCGUUAAGGCUGAGCUGUGAUGGGGAGAAGACAUUGUGUCUUCGAGUCGUUGAUUUCACACUGCCGAGAAAAGCCUCUAGAUAGAAAAUAGGUGCCCGUACCGCAAACCGACACAGGUAGUCAAGAUGAGAAUUCUAAGGUGAGCGAGCGAACUCUCGUUAAGGAACUCGGCAAAAUGACCCCGUAACUUCGGGAGAAGGGGUGCUCUUUAGGGUUAACGCCCAGAAGAGCCGCAGUGAAUAGGCCCAAGCGACUGUUUAUCAAAAACACAGGUCUCUGCUAAACCGUAAGGUGAUGUAUAGGGGCUGACGCCUGCCCGGUGCUGGAAGGUUAAGAGGAGUGGUUAGCUUCUGCGAAGCUACGAAUCGAAGCCCCAGUAAACGGCGGCCGUAACUAUAACGGUCCUAAGGUAGCGAAAUUCCUUGUCGGGUAAGUUCCGACCCGCACGAAAGGCGUAACGAUUUGGGCACUGUCUCAACGAGAGACUCGGUGAAAUCAUAGUACCUGUGAAGAUGCAGGUUACCCGCGACAGGACGGAAAGACCCCGUGGAGCUUUACUGUAGCCUGAUAUUGAAAUUCGGCACAGCUUGUACAGGAUAGGUAGGAGCCUUUGAAACGUGAGCGCUAGCUUACGUGGAGGCGCUGGUGGGAUACUACCCUAGCUGUGUUGGCUUUCUAACCCGCACCACUUAUCGUGGUGGGAGACAGUGUCAGGCGGGCAGUUUGACUGGGGCGGUCGCCUCCUAAAAGGUAACGGAGGCGCUCAAAGGUU
rnacentral:rRNA from 1 species